GGAGUUGCAGUUAAGAAAUUGCAUGAAUCUCAGAAGAGACUUUGAACUUUGAAGAAUUGUUGAGACUGUGAUAAGACUAUGGGGACUUUUGAAGUUGGACUAAGUUUAUGUUUUCAUUAUAACAUGGCUAGGUAUUGGUGUUCCAGACUACUUUUAACCCAUGAAGAUAAUGUAGUCCUUCAUCCACUUGAUUAUAUUACAUAUUGUUUGUGGCUCGAUCAAAGUAAUUACCUUUACCUGGACUGCCAACCAACACUUGGCUCCUGAUACUUUUCUGUGUCCUAAGGAAAAACCCAGCAAUUAGUUUAAAUGAAGGUCCGUGCCUGUGUUGAAGAAGGUAUUUCCAGAGGGCAACAUUCCAAUGUCAGGAGUGAACUACCACCCUGGGAGUCACUCUAUCAAAACAAGUAGGCGUUAAAAGUUGCAGUAUGAAGCAGAACAGAUUGCUGAUGGGUAACUGACAUAUGACUGACUAAAUGGAUCAAGGCUUACAAAACUGCUUUGACAAGCCGGGCAUCAAACUGACAGCUCAUUGGAAAGGCAUGCCUCGUCACAAGCCUGAAGAGACACAGAAUGACAGUUCACAGGCUCAAGUGCAAGAUGGCCUCUCAAUCUUCUUCAGCUGGUUAGGAUCUUGGCUAAUGCAGGGCCUCGGAUGCCAGACAGCAAAGGGCCUGGAGGAACAAGCAUGGUUCCAGCGAGCUCUUUAUGAAAGAAAAGAAAAUCUAGAUUCGGUGAGAGGUGAAGAGGUAGGAGGUCUGGUGGCAUGAAUCUCUUCAAAAUGUGUCUGUGGAUCUCCACAGCUCGGUUUCUGAUGCCUCACCUGCCUCCGCUGCUGAAAUGACUACAGGCACACCUGUGGAUUCCCAUGCUGCCACGGGCAGAUGGAAGACUUCAGUAGAUAUGUCAAGUACCUGAGGUGGUUGACAUGUGAGAAUCAGUGUGCAAACGGUGUUAGAAGCCAGAUGCUCUCAGAGUCAGAUGACCAUGUGGAGACAGCACCGGCAGGUGCUUCGCAGUUUGAAACAAGCACUGUCAAAUUGAAGAGAAAGUAUUGAUUGGAGAACUGCAAGGUGUGGCCCAUAGAGGUGACUGUGGCCACUAUCAAUCAUCCUGUGGUGUCACUUGGGGAAGAAGGAACCACACCGAAGCAGGCUGCUCCAGCUUCAAGACUUUUGGCAACGUUACCAAGCUUACCUAGUGUUAUUUCCAAUUGGUUGUCUUGGCUAAUUUACAUACAAUUUGGCAUCUAGGAAAUGUGUGCUUAUUUUGAUGUAUACUCAAACUGAAGGUGUGACAGAACCUGCCUACGUUUUGCAUGGUGCCUUUCCAGGUCUGUGAGAGAGGACUUCUGGGGCUCCAGAGUGCUGAAAUGUAGACCAGAUGUUGUCACAGAUGUCUUACUGUGGAUUCCACAAAGGGGAUGUCAGCAAUCUCAGUCACCUGAUGUUGUCUUCCAGAUGACUUUGGGUAGUUAGGUUCCCAUCUUGUUCAUCCAGGAGAACACUACUACCUAACACCAAUCCUUCAGAGCAAGGAGUAGCUCAUCUUGAUUCUGGCCCUGC